UCACUUGCAGAGCACAGGUCCCGAUGGGGCUGCGUUUACAUCUUUGCAUUGGAUGAUGCUGCGCUGUGGUGUUGCAGAGGACAGACACGGCAUGGUGGGUGGACAGACAGACACGGGGGCUGGCUGCUUGGUAACUUCCCAACCCCAACUUUGGGAGGAUCCUGCCCUGGGUGCAAGGACUGUCUCCAGUCACUGCACACCUUAAUUCUCCCUUGGAGGACUGGAAAGGUUGCAAAUGCGUUGUGCUCAAAGGACAUAUUUUCAGCUCACAAACUCACUGCCUGUUCUUGCAAGCAAGAAGCAAGUCCUGCUUACUCUUCCCACUUGCUGGGAGGACUUCACCCAGCCCAUGGCCAUGCCCUCUUUCCCCAGGGUGAAAUGAGACCCGGCCUGCAUCCUGACCCUGUACACUUGGGCCCUGGCCCAUGGUGGUCGCACCUGAAGAAAUACAAGCGAGAUGCACCUUGCUCGCCAUGGCUGAGAGCAGCAGCCUGGAGCCCUCAGUGUCCUGCAGCCCAGGGCAUGCAUCAGCCCUCAGGUCCAGCACAGCUGGGGCAAUCCUGAUGCCUGUGCCUGGUGGGAGACCCAAGCAUCCCACCGGUGGAGCCAGCCUUUCAGGUAAAAGUGUCUCUAAUUAUUAAUUAGCUGAUGAGGGUUUGUUACGUGUUAGCAUGGCUCUCUUGCUGCUAUAACACUUACUGACAAAGAGCAGGAGAGAGGGCUUGAUGCUCCUGUUGCUCACAUACAUGCAAGCUUUGCUGUAUGAGAGCAAAUGAUCUACAGGGGCUGUGAGCCCUCGUCACACCAGGUGCAGGGGGCAGAGCUGUAACACCUCCUGCAGCGGGGAAACCCAGCCCUGUGCUGUUUGCCUGCCCUCACUCAGCCCUGCUCGGCGCCAGUUGCAGCACAUAAUAGCCUCAGUGCGUGUAGGACGCCACGGCCACGUCAUGUCUGCUCUAGGGUUUUCCACGCAAGGAUGGGCCUGAGAGCACGCAGAGGAGCUGGCACCCGUAUUGCCCAUCCUGGCUGUGAUUCAGAGUUGGACAAGGAGAAGGAAGCCUGCUCCCAGCUGCCUCCUUGUAGUGAUGGGGUGCCUGUGCUCUGCUGGAAGUGAAUCUGCCAUCUUCAUCUCAUCCCAUCCCCAUCCCCAUCCCCAUCCCCAUCCCCAUCCCCAUCCCCAUCCCCAUCCCCAUCCCCAUCCCCAUCCCCAUCCCCAUCCCACCCCAUCCCCACCCCUGCUGCUCUUCUCUUUCAUGACACCCCCAGGUGAGGUGUCUCUGCUGUCACCUGCACUCUGCUGACCAGGGACAGGUCCCCCCAUCUGCAGCCACCGUGUCCAUGCCGGCGGGCAGCCCGUGCUGCUGACUCAGCCCAUGCCAGGCUGCUGGAAGGGUUAAGUGCGAUUGGGAGGCUCUGACAUUUUGCUAAUGUGCUGUGUUAAUUGAUUCGCUCAUUUCCAUUUGUUCCUGUUAAAGAGAGACAGAUGAGAGUGGUCCUGCAGUGCAGCGACUUGGCAGGGAGCGUCUCCGCUGCGUGCAGAUGUGCUCCUGACUCAUUUAUUACC
rnacentral:lncRNA from 1 species